CGCUAAGAUCAGUUUACCUAUUUUUCUAAAAUAUGGGUAAAUUUUAUUCAAAUUUGCGUAAACUUUACGCAAAUAUGGGUAAAUAAAACUCAUAUUUUGGAAAAGUGCACAACCUCAUUUAUAGGUAAUAAUAAUCCAUAUUUGGGUUACAAUUACUCAUAUGUGUGUCCACAUUACCCAUAUUUGAGUUUUGUUAACCUAUAUUUGAGUAUCAUUUACGCAUAUUUGCGGUUGUGCACUUUUUGGAAAAAAGGUAAACCAACAAUCAAUACGAAACUAGCAAUUCGCCCGUGACCCCAGUUUCGUCAGAUUUCAAUGACCCCAAUCCCCCAGUACGUACUUUUUGAAUGCGCACAAGGAGGCGACGCUUUUGACACUUCUAAUUGUCAAUCGUGUUUUUUUUUUCAUGUUAUCAUCGGUGGCGUGGUUGCUGGAGGUGGAUGAAGUGGCCAUAGCGGACGGACUUUUACAUAUACUGCUGGAUGGUGCCGGGUAUCACGGACGCAGAUCUGAGUGAUCUCACGGAGCAUAAGCGGUGGUUCAUAGAGAGGUCAUUAUGGCCACACGAUACUGAGUGCUUUACGACGCUUCAGGUCAGAACCCAAUGGAUAUUCCAAUGUUUCGGUCGGCAGGAAGAUAAGGAUUGCGUGACAACUUUUGAUGGAACAGAAAUCAACGCGAUUUAUGAAUAUCUAGAAGCCCGAAAUAAACACCGUGUACACAUA